AUUUACAAAUAAUCUUCAUGGGCGGUGAAGAAAUCUACGCAAAACAACGUGCACUCGCCAGUCGCAACAACAUCAAUUUUCCAACAGCCGGGCGAAUGGACAACGAGCUGGACAGCCUAUUGACUGCUCAUGCACAUACUACCCGAAAUUACACGUCCUAUAAUUAUAAUCGAGGCUGUAAUAUUGCUGUCUUUCCUAUUGAACGAAGCUAAACAAAUGUAUAAACGAAUUUUGUUGUUCAAAGAAGGCCUGGAGAACUGAAUGUCAGUCUGUUUUACAUAUCAAAUCUCAUAUUAGACAGCAUAUCAACAAACCUACAGCUCCAAAAAAAUCUCGACAGAAAAUAAUUCGUACCGUACCAAAAUACUAAGAAAAAACGAAUACACGCAAUAUUUCAUGUAAAUAUUCUCUGAGAUGAUAUGCUGGAAAUAGUUAACAUUAAAAUGGAAAUAAGCAUGGUUAAAAAAUGGGUAGCCGUAGAGAGCUCAAUGUUUUGGACAACAUGGAUAAUCGAUGGAAUUAUCUAUAUUCAGCCAAGAACAAAAAUUCCGUGGCCCGUGACGAUGGGCCGCUUGGUGAAGCCACGCAGUUAUAUAUUUUUAUACCAACAGAAGAAGCCCUCCCAGCAAGAGGAUGCAAGAGACCUCACAAGCUCUUCAAUUUCACAGUCAAUUUCAAACCUGGAUGAUAGUAAUUCAGACGAAGCAUAUUCAGAUACGGGUUUAUGGAAGCCUCGAGGUCGUAUCAUUUAUCUUAAAAAAACCAAAAUUCCCUCUCCUAUGACGUUGGGCCGCUUGGUGAUGCCACGCAGAUAUAGAAUGACUUUCCCCUGGAACGACGAUUGGUCAUAUGCACUCUGAACAUAUCCUGGACUACCCGGCCACAACCUCGUAGGGUAGACUCAGAGCUAUUGGAAAUUUUGCUUUACACUUUCCUAUCCUUACAAGAAUUUAUUAUCAGUUCCGAGAAAAUUCCAAAACAGACCGCGCAUCUCUCAAUUUUUG